rfam:TPA: Bos taurus chromosome 9, whole genome shotgun sequence.
UGGCUCAGAUGGUAAAGCAUCUGCCUACAAUGCAGGAGACCCAGGUUCGAUCCCUGG